ACAACCCAUCAACAAAAGAACCAAUCAGCUGCUCAGAAUUUAAAUAUAGCUCCAAACAACCAAACAACCAACUGACCACAUUGGCACACAAGACGUUUAUAAGUUAAGGAGAAUAAAAAAAAAAAAAAAGGGAGAAUAAGACAAGACAAUCCUGAUGAUAAUGUUACCUAGUCAGAUAAUGAAACGUUCAGAAACUAAAUUGAAAUAAGCUUGGAGAGCAAACCACUGCCAAAAUCUAAAACCUGAGCUACAAGUAUUUUCUAUUAUUUCAAAAUAUACAGUAUAUCUACGUCUAGAUAGGAGGAUUCUUGCAUCAGCAGUUAAGUUUUCAAUAUAUUCUCAAUGGACAUUAAGACGAAACCAAGUACGAUGCAUGGAUUGGCAGACACAACAACUUCCAAACUGUUGUCAUAUUAUUUCACAAGUUUUCUAUCCCAAGUGCAAAAUCCCGUGCACCUCGUCUAAAAUAGUUAAGAGUAUCUGUUUUCUAAAGUAAGUAGAAAAGGCAGCUAGGAUAUCUGCUGAAUUAUCACAGGAGGUGUUGUCCUCCAAGAACUUGUCAAAAAAAAUCCCAAGUGAUAAAAGAAGUUUUAUUUCAGUGUGAAGAUAUUGCUGCAUCUUUCAACUAAGUGAUACCAGCUAUAGUCAAGAUAGACAUAUACACGUGUUAUGUAAACUGGGAUGCAUCUUUUAAUGGAACAGGAGAAAAAGGUCAAAGAACAUUUGAAGGAUGUACCCUGAUAUCCCAGGAAGAUCAUCAUAGUAAGAAGAUUCAACAGACCUUGUUCAUCAUCUAGAAAAGGAAUAGCUUAAAGAACUCUGCUCCUCUCUGCCAGAAGAAACAAUCAACUUCCUAAUAUGUUGUUCCUCUGGGACCAUAGAACAGAAGGUGUCGCAAAUCAGCAGGUGUCGCAAAUCAACAAUAUCAGAAACUGAAAAAUCAAGUAAAUCUCCAGCUUAUUGUGACAGGCCACAUAUAUGUGGCUCAGAAUCCAGAUUUCUACAAGGAUAAAUUUCCUCCUAGUGUACUUUACAGGCUAAUGUUUAAAAAUAAUAAUAAAUAGUUAUUUCAAAGCCUUGGGUUUUGUACAAAGCUCACAUUCCAUAUUAUUUCCUGAAAAACAAUUAUUGAUGGGCAUGAAAUUAUCAACCAAGAUUUUUUGCCGUCCAAUCACUUUAUCGACUUUUAAAAAUACCUAUCAGUUCAUUUAGUCUAGCCUUGUUGUAGAAUCACCAACAGAGGAGAUUUUUAUCAAUUAGGAUAAUGAUUAAUCAACAUGAAAAAUCUAAAAUUUAAUGCAAUCCAAACCAAGAAAUAGUAAGUAUAUGAUUCAAUACAUCUGAAGAGUAUCAAUUAAAAUCCCUGCUCCAAGAUUUUCGGAAUCAGAUCCUGAUAAUUGAGAUCCUGGUCAGCUUUUGUUGCAGCCUUUCAGAUUUCCAAUAAAAAUUGAAAUAAGAGAAUUAAAUGGUAUAAUACAAUACAGUA